rnacentral:lncRNA from 1 species
UCAAGUCCAUUGUUUUCUUUGCUUGUACACACGCCUGGAUCCCCUGGAGGCAGGAGCAACAAAUUCCCGAAGAUUUUCCAGGAAUGGUUUGUGAAGGGGAUUGUUGACCGAGAGGAAAGCGGUGCCAUGGAUUGUUCUCACAGUUUGCUGGGAUUGAGCUGGAGUGGAGUGUCCGGGAACAUUCCUUGGCACAAACGAUUUGCUAAAAUCCCUGCGGCUGUCCAGACUUUUGGCUGAGGAUGGAAAAGAUCCGGCUCCUCCUCGGAUCCAUCAGUUGGAACUCUGGAAAACCUUUUGGAGCAGGAAGGAGCAAAAUCAUCGGGACAGCCGUGUCUGGAUUCUAUUUUGCCAUGAAAUCUCUUGUCUUGGGGUCUCAGACUCUUUAAUGAAGCCAAAUCCUGCCAAAACGGGAAGCAGGUGCAUUCCCAAGUCAAAACCUCAGAAUCCCAAGCCCCUGUUUCCCGUCGGGAGCCGGUUUUGAUGGAGCAUUUCCCAAAAACUCUGGGGCAGAACGGAAUUUGUUAAUCAAGAGAUAAAUAACGAAGACAAGAGCAAAACUGGCUGGCAGCAGCCGAAGAGAGGCAACAUCCUCUCAUCCCGGAUUCCCUGCUCCCGGAUUUCCGCGCUGGCCUUUCCCAGGUUUUCUCUCGUUCCCUUUCAUGCGGCUGGGAAGGGCGGAGCGGGAUUAGGGAUCGCUCUGUCUCUCUU